rnacentral:rRNA from 1 species
CCUUUGUACACACCGCCCGUCGCUACUACCGAUUGAAUGGCUUAGUGAGGUCUUCGGAUCGGCGCUUGGGAGCCGGCAACGGCACCCGAAUGCUGAAAAGUUGCACGAACUUGGUCAUUUAGAGG